GACGAACGCUGGCGGCGUGCCUAAUACAUGCAAGUUGAGCGAUGAAGAUUGGUGCUUGCACCAAUUUGAAGAGCAGCGAACGGGUGAGUAGCGCGUGGGGAAUCUGCCUUUGAGCGGGGGACAACAUUUGGAAACGAAUGCUAAUACCGCAUAAUAACUUUAAACAUAAGUUUUAAGUUUGAAAGAUGCAAUUGCAUCACUCAAAGAUGAUCCCGCGUUGUAUUAGCUAGUUGGUGAGGUAAAGGCUCACCAAGGCGAUGAUACAUAGCCGACCUGAGAGGGUGAUCGGCCACAUUGGGACUGAGACACGGCCCAAACUCCUACGGGAGGCAGCAGUAGGGAAUCUUCGGCAAUGGACGAAAGUCUGACCGAGCAACGCCGCGUGAGUGAAGAAGGGUUUCGGAUCGUAAAACUCUGUUGGUAGAGAAGAACGUUGGUGAGAGUGGAAAGCUCAUCAAGUGACGGUAACUACCCAGAAAGGGACGGCUAACUACGUG
rnacentral:rRNA from 1 species